AGGCUCCUACGGGGCGCAGCAGUGGGGAAUAUUGGGCAAUGGGGGGAACCCUGACCCAGCGACGCCGCGUGGGGGAAGAAGGUUUUCGGAUUGUAAACCUCUGUCCUUGGUGACGAUAAUGACGGUAGCCAAGGAGGAAGCCACGGCUAACUACGUGCCAGCAGCCGCGGUAAUACGGAGGGUGCAAGCGUUACUCGGAAUCACUGGGCGUAAAGAGCGCGUAGGCGGGUGGUCA
rnacentral:rRNA from 1 species